GCAGCCGCUACCCGCUGCAACUGAGGUCGAGAUACGUUUUUGUGUAAAUGAUUAUACUUCAUGCCAAACGAAUGUGCUCAACAAGAAGACAAACAUUAAAAUAAAAUAAUUAAAUAAAUCUGAGCACUCUCGACGACGAACGACGCAACGUCCGACUGACGACCAAAGACGAACGACGUUGUUGUUCUCGAGAAGUUAAGAAUAAAUACAAAUAAAAACACCAACCGCACUUAAACCGAAUUGACACGAAGCAAAAAGAAGCCAUUUGGAAUGGAAAAGCUCGCAAGAAUUUGCCAAAACAACAUCCAAAUCGAAAUUCAAACCAGCUCGUAUUCUUGGGUUUCAGCCAUUUGUUGAAACAACGAAAGAAGAAAAAAUAAAAGCAAUACCGAUCCGAACGAGGGAGAAUUAAAAUCGAAAUAGAUACAAAAUAAAAAUAAGCUAAAAAAUAAAUAAAACAGAAAACACUACGAGUACGAGUAACGACUAACGAGACCGAUAUGACUAUAACACAGCAGCACCAGCACAAGCACCACGAAGCAUGAAUUGAAUCACUAGCCAGCCCCAGCAAGCAGCAGAAAAAGCAGCAGCACCAGCAAUAGCACCACCAUCUAAACCUCGAACUCGGGAGGAGAAUAGAAUUUUGCUUGUUUUUCAGUUUUUUUUUUUAUUUGGUUGUUGUAUAUAUAUUUUCGUUUUAGAGAAAAACGCGUACCGAAUGAAUUAACCUAACCAAACCAUCCCACUGCAGCAAUCAGAAACAAGCAACCAACAAGCAGCAGGCCAGGCACAGGCAGAAGCAUGAGGCUGGUGGCUGUUUGGUUUUGUUGGCUGGCAGGCAGCACCAGAGCACACGGGGCAUAUAAAUACAGAAAAAUUGUAUGUACGACAAAACGAAUAUACACGAACAUCAAAAAACAAAAAAAAACUUUCCACGAAAUGGCGAUUCAAGUAGAAAAUUGAAUAUUUUCUCGAUGUUAUGAGCCAGCUAGGCAUUCAGCAAACUCUUCCAUUAGAUAAUAAAAUGGCACACAAAACGAUUUGUAAACCAAAACCAAUUGAAUAUGAAUCGAGCCAGGCCGAGCCGACUAGCCAACGACAACAAAAUUUCCAUUUGAAAAACUUGCUGUGAAUUUUGCAAUCAUUUCGAAAAAUCAAUCGAUUAAAAACAACUUAACAAUUUAAAAAUUUA